rnacentral:pre_miRNA from 1 species
GAUUAAAAAUUUAAUUUAUUUGUCUUGUUAAAAAUUUAUGUAGAUGAUAAAAUAACUAGACAAUAACAUGUGGCAUACCACAUGUACCUCAUGCUAAUAUAUAAAGAUUAUUUUUUAACCGUAAAAAUAGAUAUAGAUUUUAAUA